GAUGAAGAACGUAGCGAAAUGCGAUACGUAGUGUGAAUUGCAGAAUUCAGUGAAUCAUCGAAUCUUUGAACGCACAUUGCGCCCUUUGGUAUUCCAAAGGGCAUGCCUGUUCGAGCGUCAUUUGUACCCUCAAGCUUUGCUUGGUGUUGGGCGUCUUGUCUCCAGUCCGCUGGAGACUCGCCUUAAAGUCAUUGGCAGCCGGCCUACUGGUUUCGGAGCGCAGCUCAAGUCGCACUCUUUUCCAGCCAAGGUCAGUGUCCAACAAGCCUUUUUUCAACUUUUGACCUCGGAUCAGGUAGGGAUACCCGCUGAACUUAAGCAUAUCAAUAAGCGGAGGA
rnacentral:misc_RNA from 1 species